CAGGGGUUAGUUUAUAAAAUAUUAGUUUUGGGGACUAAAGAUAGAGAAACCUUCUCUACUCCUGA
rnacentral:tRNA from 1 species